rnacentral:rRNA from 1 species
GAUGAACGCUAGCGAUAGGCCUAACACAUGCAAGUCGAGGGGCAUCACAUGAAGUAGCAAUACGGAUGGUGGCGACCGGCGCACGGGUGAGUAACACGUAUGCAACCUGCCUUCAACAAGGGGAUAACCCGUUGAAAGACGGACUAAUACCCUAUAACACAGGGGUCCCGCAUGGGAAUAUUUGUUAAAGGACAACCGGUUGAAGAUGGGCAUGCGUUCCAUUAGCUAGUUGGCGGGUAACGCCCACCAAGGCAACGAUGGAUAGGGGAACUGAGAGGUUUAUCCCCCACACUGGUACUGAGACACGGACCAGACUCCUACGGGAGGCAGCAGUGAGGAAUAUUGGUCAAUGGACGCAAGUCUGAACCAGCCACGUCGCGUGAAGGAAGACGGCCCUACGGGUUGUAAACUUCUUUUAUACGGGAAUAAAGUGCCCCACGCGUGGGGUUUUGCAUGUACCGUAUGAAU